CAAGGUUGCCGAAAAGGCAGAGGAGAGUGGCCCAAGAUUUCUCACAUCCCAAACAUCAAAGUUGGUAAAGAAUUUGUACAAAAAGACGGAGUUUACCAAAUUGAUGAUGAUGAGAUGCACAAGUGUUGCUUCCACAUCUUCUUCUGGUAUUAAAAAAAUUCUCUAAAAUUGUCUCGGGCUAUAAAUUCUCUAUGUGCCGACGACCCCCAUUUCCAAAUUCCAGCUGAAGGUAUUUUCUGGCAUGCAAAGAGGGAAGUCUCACUUUGAAGAUAAUCUUGUCAGAAGCGCGUACGUUGUAUAGUAGGGAAAAUAAUUAUAACAUCCGAUAUGUAUGUAUAACCAAGAAUUCAAUCUUCAACUCUGUUGAGAUAUUAUAUUAUAUUACCAUCUCUGUUGAGAUGUUGUUAUAU